ACUGUACCUGCGGGGUGGCUAGCGCCUGAGAUACCGAAAAUUAUUCGGUGAACCCGUUGAACCUGAACCGGAUAACGCCGGCGUAGGGACAGGCCUAUGAGCUCAA
rnacentral:ncRNA from 2 species